GCAGGGGUCGCCAAGCCAGGUCAACGGCGUAGGCUUCAGGAGCCUAUCCUGCAGAGGUUCGUGGGUUCGAAUCCCACCUCCUGCA
rnacentral:tRNA from 1 species